rnacentral:rRNA from 1 species
AUUGAACGCUAGCGGCAGGCCUAACACAUGCAAGUCGAGCGGAUGAGAGGAGCUUGCUUCUCGAUUCAGCGGCGGACGGGUGAGUAAUGCCUAGGAAUCUGCCUGGUAGUGGGGGACAACGUUUCGUAAGGAACGCUAAUACCGCAUACGUCCUACGGGAGAAAGCAGGGGACCUUCGGGCCUUGCGCUAUCAGAUGAGCCUAGGUCGGAUUAGCUAGUUGGUGAGGUAAUGGCUCACCAAGGCGACGAUCCGUAACUGGUCUGAGAGGAUGAUCAGUCACACUGGAUAUGAGACAAGGUCCAGACUCCUACGGGAGGCAGCAGUGGGGAAUAUUGGACAAUGGGCCAAAGCCUGAUCCAGCCAUGCCGCGUGUGUGAAGAAGGUCUUCGGAUUGUAAAGCACUUUAAGUUGGGAGGAAGGGUUGUAGAUUAAUACUCUGCAAUUUUGACGUUACCGACAGAAUAAUCACCGGCUAACUCUGUGCCAGCCGCCGCGGUAACAC